ensembl:misc_RNA Metazoa_SRP Metazoan signal recognition particle RNA
GCUGGGCAUGGUGGUGCAUGCCUGUAAUCCCAGUACUCAGGAGGCUGAGGCAGGAGGAUCACUUGAGCCCUGGAGGUGGAGGCCGCAGUGAGCCAUGGUCACACCACUGCCCUCUAGCCUGGGUGACAGAGUGAGACCCUGUCUCCA